CUGGAUAAUAGGUACAUUGUGCCUUCAAAUUUGUUGUUAUUGAAAAAAUUUGGUGCACAUACAAAUGUUGAAUGGUGCAACAAAACCAUCUUUAUAAAAUACCUUUUCAAAUAUGUGACCAAAGGACCAGAUCGUAGCAAAAUGUUUCUUCAGAGGAUUCAGAGCGGCGAAGAUGUUCCUUAUGAUGAAGAAACUGAUGCAAGAAAUGAAAUCAAAGAAUACAUUGACAGUAGAUACCUUUGUGACAUUGAUUCUUGCUGGCGAGUAUUUGGGUUUGAGAUACAUAGACAUUACCCAGCUGUUGAAAGAAUGCAUGU
rnacentral:misc_RNA from 1 species